UACGUAGGGACCGAGCGUUGUCCGGAAUCAUUGGGCGUAAAGAGCGUGUAGGCGGCCCCUUAAGUCCUGCGUGAAAUCCUGCGGCUCAACCGCAGACGGUCGUGGGAAACUGGAGGGCUAGAGUGCGGGAGAGGAGAGUGGAAUUCCCGGUGUAGCGGUGAAAUGCGCAGAUAUCGGGAGGAACACCUGUGGCGAAAGCGGCGCACUGGACCACAACUGACGCUGAGGCGCGAAAGCUAGGGGAGCAAACAGG
rnacentral:rRNA from 1 species